ACGGGUGAGUAACACGUAGGCAACCUGCCCUCAAGUUUGGGACAACUACCGGAAACGGUAGCUAAUACCGAAUAAUUGUUUUCUUCGCCUGAAGGAAACUGGAAAGACGGAGCAAUCUGUCACUUGGGGAUGGGCCUGCGGCGCAUUAGCUAGUUGGUGGGGUAACGGCUCACCAAGGCGACGAUGCGUAGCCGACCUGAGAGGGUGAUCGGCCACACUGGGACUGAGACACGGCCCAGACUCCUACGGGAGGCAGCAGUAGGGAAUCUUCCGCAAUGGGCGAAAGCCUGACGGAGCAAUGCCGCGUGAGUGAUGAAGGUUUUCGGAUCGUAAAGCUCUGUUGCCAGGGAAGAACGCUUGGGAGAGUAACUGCUCUCAAGGUGACGGUACCUGAGAAGAAAGCCCCGGCUAACUACGUGCCAGCAGCCGCGGUAAUACGUAGGGGGCAAGCGUUGUCCGGAAUUAUUGGGCGUAAAGCGCGCGCAGGCGGUCAUUUAAGUCUGGUGUUUAAUCCCGGGGCUCAACCCCGGAUCGCACUGGAAACUGGGUGACUUGAGUGCAGAAGAGGAGAGUGGAAUUC
rnacentral:rRNA from 1 species